AGAGUUUGAUCCUGGCUCAGGAUGAACGCUGGCGGCGUGCCUAAUACAUGCAAGUCGAGCGAACGGACGAGAAGCUUGCUUCUCUGAUGUUAGCGGCGGACGGGUGAGUAACACGUGGAUAACCUACCUAUAAGACUGGGAUAACUUCGGGAAACCGGAGCUAAUACCGGAUAAUAUUUCGAACCGCAUGGUUCAAAAGUGAAAGACGGUCUUGCUGUCACUUAUAGAUGGAUCCGCGCUGCAUUAGCUAGUUGGUAAGGUAACGGCUUACCAAGGCAACGAUGCAUAGCCGACCUGAGAGGGUGAUCGGCCACAUUGGAACUGAGACACGGUCCAGACUCCUACGGGAGGCAGCAGUAGGGAAUCUUCCGCAAUGGGCGAAAGCCUGACGGAGCAACGCCGCGUGAGUGAUGAAGGUCUUAGGAUCGUAAAACUCUGUUAUUAGGGAAGAACAUAUGUGUAAGUAACUGUGCACAUCUUGACGGUACCUAAUCAGAAAGCCACGGCUAACUACGUGCCAGCAGCCGCGGUAAUACGUAGGUGGCAAGCGUUAUCCGGAAUUAUUGGGCGUAAAGCGCGCGUAGGCGGUUUUUUAAGUCUGAUGUGAAAGCCCACGGCUCAACCGUGGAGGGUCAUUGGAAACUGGAAAACUUGAGUGCAGAAGAGGAAAGUGGAAUUCCAUGUGUAGCGGUGAAAUGCGCAGAGAUAUGGAGGAACACCAGUGGCGAAGGCGACUUUCUGGUCUGUAACUGACGCUGAUGUGCGAAAGCGUGGGGAUCAAACAGGAUUAGAUACCCUGGUAGUCCACGCCGUAAACGAUGAGUGCUAAGUGUUAGGGGGUUUCCGCCCCUUAGUGCUGCAGCUAACGCAUUAAGCACUCCGCCUGGGGAGUACGACCGCAAGGUUGAAACUCAAAGGAAUUGACGGGGACCCGCACAAGCGGUGGAGCAUGUGGUUUAAUUCGAAGCAACGCGAAGAACCUUACCAAAUCUUGACAUCCUUUGACAACUCUAGAGAUAGAGCCUUCCCCUUCGGGGGACAAAGUGACAGGUGGUGCAUGGUUGUCGUCAGCUCGUGUCGUGAGAUGUUGGGUUAAGUCCCGCAACGAGCGCAACCCUUAAGCUUAGUUGCCAUCAUUAAGUUGGGCACUCUAAGUUGACUGCCGGUGACAAACCGGAGGAAGGUGGGGAUGACGUCAAAUCAUCAUGCCCCUUAUGAUUUGGGCUACACACGUGCUACAAUGGACAAUACAAAGGGCAGCGAAACCGCGAGGUCAAGCAAAUCCCAUAAAGUUGUUCUCAGUUCGGAUUGUAGUCUGCAACUCGACUACAUGAAGCUGGAAUCGCUAGUAAUCGUAGAUCAGCAUGCUACGGUGAAUACGUUCCCGGGUCUUGUACACACCGCCCGUCACACCACGAGAGUUUGUAACACCCGAAGCCGGUGGAGUAACCUUUUAGGAGCUAGCCGUCGAAGGUGGGACAAAUGAUUGGGGUGAAGUCGUAACAAGGUAGCCGUAUCGGAAGGUGCGGCUGGAUCACCU
rnacentral:rRNA from 1 species